GCCUGAAGUCACACAGCUUGUCUGAGGAGAAGCAGGGGUUUGCACUCAGGUGCCUUGAGCUUUUCCCUGUCCCCGUUUCUUCCCUGUUGGCUUUACUGGGAGAAUCACCCUCUGACAACGUUUCUGAGAGGGCGUUUGAAAUGGGCUCAGCGUCGCGUCUGACUGUGGUCUCUGCACCUUAAGAGGAACAAAGAGAAUUUCCAAAGUGGUCAAGUAAGUUACAAAGGAAACCUGGAGAAUAAAUGAUCUCUGAGGAAUGUUUAGAGGAACUAGGAUGAUUUCAUUUGAAGGCUGAUUAUAUAAUGGGUCUUCAGGUUUAUGAAAGAUUGUUAGAGACGGUGGCCACCAGCUGUUCCUCAUCUCCACUCUGGACCGGAGAGGAGGAAAUUGGCCUAAGCUGCAGCCUGAGGGUGUCUAUAUGGAAGAAUUUCCUGACACUGGAAUGGGCAGGAAAUAAAAAAAAGCAGGCCCUUUUUCUGAGGACACCAAAUGGAGACCAGAGUCGUCUCGGUGUGUGUGGGCUUUUUAGCAGCCAAUUAAUCGGGCUCACUGGGCGUGUGCCUUGGGAUUUUGUCUCUAGAAGCUCUCCGGGUUGCAGGGGAACGUUGCAGGACUCUCUCUGACAAUAGCCCCAAUGGAGCUAUGCCCCCAUGAUAGCCCAGUACCCCUUCCUAAUGACAGACCGUGCCGAGCACCAGGGCAUGUGCGUACGUGCAUGCCAGCCCUCUGCCCCUGGCCUUUGCUAGCCCCUAACCCUGGGGCUAAGGGUGUCUCCUGGGUUUCUGGGGAGGGAGCAAUGAAUCAUCUACGAGUAGGUCUAGCAGAGUGCCUGGCACGUAGUUGGCGCUCAGUGAAUCAUAGUCCUCUGCUCCCACCACCCAAAUCUCUAGAACUUAUGUGAAGUCUAAAUAAGCUCCGUUUUUUGACAGUAAAAUUAUUUGAUUUUGAGUUAAGUUCCACAAGGUUCAACAAGGUUAAGGUCUGCAAGGUUCAAGGGGUACAACUUAAAUCUGUGCUCUGGGGAUUUGCUGAGUGAGUUCAUCUCCAAACCCGCAUCUACUGCAGACCGUGGAUCUCUGCUCUCAGCCCAAAGUGUCUGGGUGCUGGCAGAGCUCCCUCACCCGCCACUCCCGUCAGUCCAGCCAACCAGUCCCCUCCGGGUCUCUAGUCCUCCUUAGACACCCGGGAGGCCCCAAGUUAUCUUACAUCAUGCUGGCUUCCACCCCAGUUCCUCCACGGACUUGCGCUGUGACAAGUGGCCUCGGAUAAGUCAUUAACCUUCCGGCGCCUCGGUUUCCUCAUCUGUGAGGUGGGAAGGACAGUCGUGCAGCCCUGCGGUAUGGAUGGAAGCAGAUAAGGUGUGGAAGGCACCUGACACAAGGCCUCGUGUGCAACUGCCAAAUGAAUGUUGAGACGAGGGCCAUGUUUGGGGAUUGUUUCCAACUCUCGGCCAUACCUGAACCUCUUAGGAUCACUUCCUGGGUCCAUCAGACUCUGGAGAUUUAUCAGACAACCUGAACUGGCCUGUGGAGGGACCCUCUUCUCUGCCCAAGUCCUUUCUCUGACCAGACAGAUGGAACGUCCUCCCCGUUGGCAGAAGCGUUACAAAGGGAGCGUCUGCAACCUCCUCUGCGGCCUUAGUUUCCCCGGAGCAGCUAAUCUGAUUGGCCAGCGCUGGCGCCAGGAGGUGGGGGCACGGAUGUCUUACUGCGCAGGCAUGUGGCUGGCCUCUGGCUGGCCGUGUUUUCUGCAGACUUCUUUCUCGCCCGAGGUGCCUUCAGAGUCCCUCACCCAUUCUUCCAGGACACCCAGUCUUCCAGGAAGCCAGCCUUUGCGGGCUGAAUAGAUGCUUCCUUAGCCAGUAAUUAAGCCAGAGUUCCUCAGAUUCGGCACUAUUGACAUUUUGGCCGGUCUCUGCAACUGCCCUGGCCAGUGCUCCCCUGUCCAGACCUCUGCCCUGGGUCAUCC
rnacentral:lncRNA from 1 species